CUUCCGCCUCAGCCUUCCAAGUAGCUGGAACUACAGGAGGCUCAGGAAGGGUCUUCAGGGACACUGACAGGUCACAGGAAGGUGGUUGAGCCCCGUGCUCGGAGGAGGAGGUUGGGCCGGGCAGGACUGAAGGGGACUUUCGGCCGUGCAGUGUGCAUAGGAGCAACUCUGAAGACCGCCUGGUGCUAAUCUAGACUCUUCUCCAGCACAGGAGGCCCAGUCAUUUGGCAGAAGCAGACUUUGCAGACCACACUGUCUGUCACGACUUGCCAACUCCUGGUUAGCAGAAAAAUGGCCGCAAACCCUGUGAACGAAGGGUUACGGCUGUGUCCCAAUAAAACUUUAUUUGCAGAAACAAG